rnacentral:rRNA from 1 species
GAUGAACGCUGGCGGCGUGCCUAACACAUGCAAGUCGAGCGAAUGAACGGAGCUUGCUCCUGGAUUCAGUGGCGGACGGGUGAGUAAUGCCUAGGAAGCUGCCCGAUAUUUGGGGAUAACGUACCGUAACGGGCGCUAAGACCGUAUACGUUCAGAUUGUGAAAGGGAGGGAUCUUCGGAGCAAACGCGACUAGAUGACCCUACGCCGCAUUAGCGAGUUGGUGGGGCAAGGGCCUACCAAGGCGACGAUGCGUAACAGAUCUGAGAGGAUGAUCAGACACACUGGAACUGGGACACGGUCCAGACUCCUACGGGAGGCAGCAGUCGGGAAUCUUCCGCAAUGGGCGAAAGCCUGACGGAGCAACGCCGCGUGUGUGAUGAAGGUCUUCGGAUCGUAAAGCUCUGUUAUUGGGGAAGAACAUCUGUGAGAUUAUCUGUGGCCAUAUUGACGGUACCUACAGAAAAAGCACCGGCUAACUACGUG